rnacentral:rRNA from 1 species
CGUGCAGGCGGUUCGUUAAGUCCCGUGUUAAAGCCUCCGGCUCAACCGGAGAACGCCGCGGGAUACUGGCGAGCUUGAGGGCGGUAGAGGGUGAUGGAAUUCCCGGUGUAGCGGUGAAAUGCGUAGAUAUCGGGAGGAACGCCAGUGGCGAAGGCGGUCACCUGGGCCGUCCCUGACGCUGAGACGCGAAAGCUGGGGGAGCAAACGGGAUUAGAUACCCCGGUAGUCCCAGCUGUAAACGAUGCUCACUAGGUGUUGGGGGGUUACUCCCUCAGUGCCGCAGCUAACGCAUUAAGUGAGCCGCCUGGGGAGUACGGCCGCAAGGUUGAA